rnacentral:rRNA from 1 species
UACGAAGGGUGCAAGCGUUACUCGGAAUUACUGGGCGUAAAGCGUGCGUAGGUGGUUUGUUAAGUCUGUUGUGAAAGCCCCGGGCUCAACCUGGGAAUGGCAAUGGAUACUGGCAAGCUAGAGUGCGGGUAGAGGGUAGUGGAAUUCCCGGUGUAGCGGUGAAAUGCGUAGAUAUCAGGAGGAACACCUGUGGCGAAGGCAGGUCAGCUGGGCCGCAACUGACGCUGAGGCACGAAAGCGUGGGGAGCAAA